rnacentral:rRNA from 1 species
AGUGAACGCUGGCGGUAGGCCUAACACAUGCCAGUCGAACGGCAGCACAGUAAGAGCUUGCUCUUACGGGUGGCGAGUGGCGGACGGGUGAGGAAUACAUCGGAAUCUACUUUUUCGUGGGGGAUAACGUAGGGAAACUUACGCUAAUACCGCAUACGACCUACGGGUGAAAGCAGGGGAUCUUCGGACCUUUCGCGAUUGAAUGAGCCGAUGUCGGAUUAGCUAGUUGGCGGGGUAAAGGCCCACCAAGGCGACGAUCCGUAGCUGGUCUGAGAGGAUGAUCAGCCACACUGGAACUGAGACACGGUCCAGACUCCUACGGGAGGCAGCAGUGGGGAAUAUUGGACAAUGGGCGCAAGCCUGAUCCAGCCAUACCGCGUGGGUGAAGAAGGCCUUCGGGUUGUAAAGCCCUUUUGUUGGGAAAGAAAAGCAGCAGGUUAAUACCCCGCUGUUCUGACGGUACCCAAAGAAUAAGCACCGGCUAACUUCGU